rnacentral:rRNA from 1 species
AGCGAACGCUGGCGGCAGGCCUAACACAUGCGAGUCGAACGAAGUCUUCGGACUUAGUGGCGGACGGGUGAGUAACACGUGGGAACGUGCCUUUAGGUUCGGAAUAACUCAGGGAAACUUGUGCUAAUACCGAAUGUGCCCUUCGGGGGAAAGAUUUAUCGCCUUUAGAGCGGCCCGCGUCUGAUUAGCUAGUUGGUGAGGUAAAGGCUCACCAAGGCUACGAUCAGUAGCUGGUCUGAGAGGAUGACCAGCCACAUUGGGACUGAGACACGGCCCAAACUCCUACGGGAGGCAGCAGUGGGGAAUCUUGCGCAAUGGGCGAAAGCCUGACGCAGCAAUGCCGCGUGGAUGAUGAAGGUCUUAGGAUUGUAAAAUCCUUUCACCGGUGAAGAUAAUGACUGUAGCCGGAGAAGAAGCCCCGGCUAACUUCGUGCCAGCCGCCGCGGUAACAC